GAUGAACGCUGGCGGCGUGCCUAAUAUAUGCAAGUCGAGCGAACAGACGAGGAGCUUGCUCCUCUGACGUUAGCGGCGGACGGGUGAGUAACACGUGGAUAACCUACCUAUAAGACUGGGAUAACUUCGGGAAACCGGAGCUAAUGCCGGAUAAUAUAUUGAACCGCAUGGUUCAAUAGUGAAAGACGGUUUUGCUGUCACUUAUAGAUGGAUCCGCGCCGCAUUAGCUAGUUGGUAAGGUAACGGCUUACCAAGGCAACGAUGCGUAGCCGACCUGAGAGGGGGAUCGGCCACACUGGAACUGAGACACGCUCCAGACUCCUACGGGAGGCAGCAGUAGGGAAUCUUCCGCAAUGGGCGAAAGCCUGACGGAGCAACGCCGCGUGAGAGAUGAAGGUCUUCGGAUCGUAAAACUCUGUUAUUAGGGAAGAACAAAUGUGUAAGUAACUAUGCACGUCUUGACGGUACCUAAUCAGAAAGCCACGGCUAACUACGUG
rnacentral:rRNA from 1 species